rnacentral:rRNA from 1 species
UACGAAGGGGGCUAGCGUUGUUCGGAUUUACUGGGCGUAAAGAGCUCGUAGGCGGUCUGUCGCGUCGGUCGUGAAAACUUGGGGCUUAACCCUGAGCUUGCGGUCGAUACGGGCAUGACUGGAGUUCGGCAGGGGAGACUGGAAUUCCUGGUGUAGCGGUGAAAUGCGCAGAUAUCAGGAGGAACACCGGUGGCGAAGGCGGGUCUCUGGGCCGAUACUGACGCUGAGGAGCGAAAGCGUGGGGAGCGAACAGG